rnacentral:rRNA from 1 species
AGGAAUCUACACUUAAGUAAGGGAUAACUUCGCGAAAGCGAGGCUAAUAUCUUAUGUGGAGGUAACUCUAAAGAUUUAUCGCUUAAGAAUGAGCCUGCGGCCUAUCAGGUAGUUGGUGGGGUAAAAGCCUACCAAGCCUAUGACGGGUAGAUGGUGUUAGCGCAUGACCAUCCAGAAGGGUAUUGAGAUACGGACCCUACUCCUACGGGAGGCAGCAAUCGGGAAUUUUGCGCAAUGGGCGAAAGCCUGACGCAGCGACGCCGCGUGAAGGAUGGAAGCCUUCGGGUUGUAAACUUCUGAAAAUAGCACCGGCUAACUACGUGCCAG